UCUUUUUCCUCCUUAGGUGGAAAUCUCUGUUGAAAGCAGCCAAGCAGUGACUAUUUUCCUGGUAUGAUGUCACCACGCUUCGGAUCCAUGGUUAUGUCAUGUCCAGAAAUGCAGAAAUUCUGUCAGUCAUGCGGAUUCUCUUCCAAUCCACAGGCAGUUCCAUAAUAAAUCUUCUGAGGCACUUUGGGUUGUUUGUGUGCUUGAA